UACGAAGGGGGCUAGCGUUGCUCGGAAUCACUGGGCGUAAAGCGCACGUAGGCGGCUUUCUAAGUCAGGGGUGAAAUCCUGGAGCUCAACUCCAGAACUGCCUUUGAUACUGGGGAGCUCGAGUCCGGAAGAGGUGAGUGGAACUCCGAGUGUAGGGGUGAAAUUCGUAGAUAUUCGGAAGGAACACCAGUGGCGAAGGCGACUACCUGGCCUGUUCUUGACGCUGAGGCGCGAAGGCUAGGGGAGCAAACGGG
rnacentral:rRNA from 1 species